rnacentral:rRNA from 1 species
UGAAGAGAGGAGCUUGCUCUUCUUGGAUGAGUUGCGAACGGGUGAGUAACGCGUAGGUAACCUGCCUUGUAGCGGGGGAUAACUAUUGGAAACGAUAGCUAAUACCGCAUAACAAUGGAUGACACAUGUCAUUUAUUUGAAAGGGGCAAUUGCUCCACUACAGGAUGGACCUGCGUUGUAUUAGCUAGUAGGUGAGGUAACGGCUCACCUAGGCGACGAUACAUAGCCGACCUGAGAGGGUGAUCGGCCACACUGGGACUGAGACACGGCCCAGACUCCUACGGGAGGCAGCAGUAGGGAAUCUUCGGCAAUGGGGGCAACCCUGACCGAGCAACGCCGCGUGAGUGAAGAAGGUUCUCGGAUCGUAAAGCUCUGUUGUAAGUCAAGAACGAGUGUGAGAGUGGAAAGUUCACACUGUGACGGUAGCUUACCAGAAAGGGACGGCUAACUACGUGCCAGCAGCCGCGGUAAUACGUAGGUCCCGAGCGUUGUCCGGAUUUAUUGGGCGUAAAGCGAGCGCAGGCGGUUUGAUAAGUCUGAAGUUAAAGGCUGUGGCUCAACCAUAGUUCGCUUUGGAAACUGUCAAACUUGAGUGCAGAAGGGGAGAGUGGAAUUCCAUGUGUAGCGGUGAAAUGUGUAGAUAUAUGGAGGAACACCGGUGGCGAAAGCGGCUCUCUGGUCUGUAACUGACGCUGAGGCUCGAAAGCGUGGGGAGCGAAC